UACGAAGGGGGCGAGCGUUGUUCGGAAUCACUGGGCGUAAAGGGUGCGUAGGCGGCCCUCUUAGUCGCGUGUGAAAGCCCCGGGCUCAACCUGGGAACGGCGCGCGAAACGGGAGGGCUGGAGUUCGGGAGAGGAGAGUGGAAUUCCCAGUGUAGAGGUGAAAUUCGUAGAUAUUGGGAAGAACACCGGUGGCGAAGGCGGGUCUCUGGGCAGAAACUGACGCUGAGGAGCGAAAGCGUGGGGAGCGAACAGG
rnacentral:rRNA from 1 species